rnacentral:tRNA from 1 species
AUUUAUAACCUAUUAUCAGCCAUUUUAUCUGAUAAAAAGAUUUUUUUAAUCUAUAUAUAAAUUUACA